GACGAACGCUGGCGGCGUGCUUAACACAUGCAAGUCGAACGGGAAGGCCCUGCUUUUGUGGGGUGCUCGAGUGGCGAACGGGUGAGUAACACGUGAGUAACCUGCCCUUGACUUUGGGAUAACUUCAGGAAACUGGGGCUAAUACCGGAUAGGAGCUCCUGCUGCAUGGUGGGGGUUGGAAAGUUUCGGCGGUUGGGGUUGGACUCGCGGCUUAUCGGCUUGUUGGUGGGGUAGUGGCUUACCAAGGCUUUGACGGGUAGCCGGCCUGAGAGGGUGACCGGCCACAUUGGGACUGAGAGACGGACCAGACGCCUACGGGAGGCAGCAGUGGGGAAUAUUGCACAAUGGGCGGAAGCCUGAUGCAGCAACGCCGCGUGCGGGAUGACGGCCUUCGGGUUGUAAACCGCUUUCGCCUGUGACGAAGCGUGAGUGACGGUAAUGGGUAAAGAAGCACCGGCUAACUACGUG
rnacentral:rRNA from 1 species